CCCGCUAAUAGGGAACGUGAGCUGGGUUUAGACCGUCGUGAGACAGGUUAGUUUUACCCUACUGAUGAAUUUUAUUAUAUUUUUUAUAUAUACAUAUAGUAUUGUGACAGUAAUCCAACUUGGUACGAGAGGAUUAGUUGGUUCAGACAAUUGGUACAGCAAUUGGUUGAUAAACCAGUGUUGCGAAGCUAAGUCUGUUGGAUAAUGGCUGAACGCCUCUUAAGCCAGAAACCAUGCUGAUUAAACAAUACUAUUUCGUUCUUUUUUGUUUCCUUUUUUACUGCUAAUGUAAAAGAGAAAUUAUAUAUGUACCUUUUUUUGGUACAUAAAUAAUCCUAUCACCUUUUUCGUGAGCUGUGAGCUGUGAGCUAGGCAAUAGUUCUUUAACAACAAAAAAGAAUUGCACAAACUGUAGACGACUUUUUUGCCUCAGGGUGCUGUAAACAUGAAAGUAAACUUUGUUUUACGAUCUGUUGAGGCUUAUCCCUAGUGGUAAAGUGUUU
rnacentral:ncRNA from 1 species